rnacentral:RNase_P_RNA from 4 species
GAAGCUGGCUAGACAGUCGCCGCUCACGUAAGUGAGGGGAGGAAAGUCCGGGCUGCAUAGAGCGGGAUGACGGUUAACGGCCGUCCGCCAUAAGUCGUUAGACUGAAAAGUCGAAUGACAAAAGCGAGGAAUAGGGCCACAGAGACGAGUCGGUUCGACCUGCGAGCGCGCUUUUUAGCGAGCUUGCGUCGAAACGGGUGAAACGCGGUAACCUCCAUUCGCAGCAAGACCAAAUAGGCUGGUAUUGACGUGGCUCGCGUUGCCAGCGGGUAGGUUGCUUGAGCGCAUGAGUAAUUGUGCGCCUAGAUGAAUGACUGUUACGUGCAGCAAUGCACGACAGAACCCGGCUUAUCGGCCAGCUUCAACU